rnacentral:lncRNA from 1 species
GGGAACAGGAACAAGAAAGCUUGUGACAUCUGACCACAUACAUGAAGAAGUCUCUCCUGGCACCAUAAAAAAGGAGACAUAACUUCAGGAGAGAAGAAAUUCAUGUUGGAGGAAGAAAGAAAAAUAUUUCAAAAAGAAAAUCCUAAAAGAAUAGAAGAGAUCUGGACAAUUGACAUAAAAGACUUUAUCAAGUAUGGAUAUGACUAAAACAGGAUGCAUAUUGAUAAGAGUUGUGGAGUGAAGAGAAAGGAGACCUAAGAAGAAGAAAAGGACAGUUUUCUGCUCCUCUGAUCACUAGGGAGAGAGAGGCUGAACCGAGAAAAGGCACUCCAAAUCCAGACUGGGAAGCCAACGCUCCUCCUCCAACACCAGGAAGGAAGUCAGGAAAGGAAGGCAGGAAGGAAGUGCUAGUCACAAGACCCAACUGCCACUCCCAGUUGCCCCUUCCCCCACCAACUGAGUUUGCUGAGAAGAGGAAGAAAAAUAUUUAG